rnacentral:lncRNA from 1 species
CCCCUUUCCUAGGUCCUUCUUGCCAAGGUCUGCAGCGUGAUUUUUUUCUUAUGAGACAAGGUCUCACUGUGUAACUCUUGCUGGCCUGAGGCUCACUGUGGAGAUGAAGCUAGCCUUGAACUCUGGAGUGCUGGGGUCAAAAGUGAUGCGGCACUUCAAAACCCCCAGCACGCAUGAAAGUCUUCCUUCGUCAGGACACUCCCUUGUCACACGACCUCCACAACCUCCACGUUUCUACUCCUGUUUUCCAUUUGUAUUCCCAGCGCUCGUUCUCUCUCCCUCCCUCUCAUUUCUGUGUGUGUGCCCUCACAUGCGUGCACCAUGGUGUAUAUGUGGAGGUCAAAGGUCAAGUUGUGGGCCUGGAGAGGUGCCCCAAGGCUUAAGAGCGCUGGCCGCUCUGGCAGAGGAUCUCGGUUCAAUCCCAAGUAUCCACAUGGCUCACGGGUACCUGGAACAAGCUCUGACUAGAUCUUAUGCCCUCUUCUGAGCUCCUCGAGCACCUGCACACAUGGGUACAGACGCAUGGGUACAGACCGGCCAGCCAAGUACUAAUCCAUGUUAAUAAAAACAAACACAAAGAGGACAAUCCUAAAUUCUUUAAAAAGUAACAGAGGUGCAAGGAGGUUGCGGUGCCGGGAGGUGGCGGUGCACAUCUUUAAUCCCAGCAGAGGUGGGCUGCUCUGUGUUCCUGGGAAAGCCAGGGCUACACAGAAAAAACGCUGACUUGAAAAAUAAACAGGGGCUGGGGAUUUAGCUCAGUGGUAGAGCGCUUACCUAGGAAGCGCAAGGUCCUGGGUUCGGUCCCCAGCUCCGAAAAAAAAGAACCAAAAA